CCGUACACAAAAAUGCACAUGCUGUGAGCUCGAUGAGUAGGGCGGGACACGUGGUAUCCUGUCUGAAUAUGGGGGGACCAUCCUCCAAGGCUAAAUACUCCUGACUGACCGAUAGUGAACCAGUACCGUGAGGGAAAGGCGAAAAGAACCCCGGCGAGGGGAGUGAAAAAGAACCUGAAACCGUGUACGUACAAGCAGUGGGAGCACAGAGCAAUCUGUGUGACUGCGUACCUUUUG
rnacentral:rRNA from 1 species